GAGUUUGAUCGUGGCUCAGGAUGAACGCUAGCGACAGGCUUAACACAUGCAAGUCGAGGGGCAGCGGGGAGGUAAGCUUGCUUAUCUCCGCCGGCGACCGGCGCACGGGUGAGUAACACGUAUGCAACCUGCCCAUGACAGGUGGAUAACCGGGAGAAAUUCCGACUAAUACAGCAUAACACCUUCGAGGGACAUCCCUUAGAGGUCAAAGGAGGCGACUCCGGUCAUGGAUGGGCAUGCGGCGCAUUAGGUAGUUGGUGAGGCAACGGCUCACCAAGCCGACGAU
rnacentral:rRNA from 1 species